AUCUCUCUCCCUCUCUUGAACAGUUGAGGGGAAUGUUGUCUGGUUCGAGAUCCUUCGUAUGAAGCUCAAGCAGCGUUUGAAUGAUUUCGGACCAGGCUUCAUUCCCCUCAACUCAAAAAACCAGACUUCAAUAUGCAUGCCGGAAAAUGCACAGAUCGAUGGCUGCCUUCUUAUGAUUCAUGAAGAACUUUGAGUCUCUGGUAGACUAAGAGCACAGGAACAGCAAGAGGCAAACAAAUAGAAUAUGAACACAGUAACAGAAAGGUGUUUGGCAGAUUCAGAGAUAGCAGCAGGCAGCAGCAAGUAGGUAUGCUUUAGUUUCCAAUGACUUCCCUUGUGAACACACGACUGAACUUUAGGUUAAUGUGAACAUGAAGACUGAAAAUUUUGGUCAUCCCUUAUCUUUUUGGCUUCUUUGUUUAUAUUUUUAUUAUUUGGGACUUGGGGGGUUGAUUCUAUCAUAUGGAGAUUGCAUCCAGAGAGUUGAAAAGAACGCGAGUCAUGACUGGGGAGCUUUCACUCUCUUGUGUACUGUGUAAGAGAGAAGCUCUGAAUUUGCCUCCUCCUUAGUCCUUGAAGAAUUCCAUCAUCAUAACAUCUGUCUGCUCCAAACUAUUACAAAGGAUGUGGUCAGAUGUAUUAACUCUUGUGGGUCAAUUCUACAAGCAAAAAACCCAAAACUCCUUGUGGGUCAGAUUUACAUGUGAAGCUUGUGAUAGCAUGUGGAUCAGACCUGCCAGAAUUUGUCAUAUGUCAAAAACUGUAGAUCCAGCACCGCUUGCCGAUACUUUUGCUGCCAGGAAGACAAGGAUAUCAUGCACAAAAUGUACUCAUUAACCAAACAACCACCAUGCAAUUUCAGUGUAAUUCAUGAUAUGAGGACAAUUCCAAUAUCAUUGUUGCGAUUCUUGUCUU